GUGCCAGCAGCCGCGGUAAUACGUAGGUGGCAAGCGUUAUCCGGAAUUAUUGGGCGUAAAGCGCGCGUAGGCGGUUUUUUAAGUCUGAUGUGAAAGCCCACGGCUCAACCGUGGAGGGUCAUUGGGAACUGGAGAACUUGAGUGCAGAAGAGGAAAGUGGAAUUCCAUGUGUAGCGGUGAAAUGCGCAGAGAUAUGGAGGAACACCUGUGGCGAAGGCGACUUUCUGGUCUGUAACUGACGCUGAUGUGCGAAAGCGUGGGGAUCAAACAGGAUUAGAAACCCGCGUAGUCC
rnacentral:rRNA from 1 species